UACGUAGGGGGCAAGCGUUGUCCGGAUUUAUUGGGCGUAAAGCGCACGCAGGCGGUCUCUUAAGUUUUGAGUGACAGGUGGUGGCUCAACUACCACAGGGCUUGGAAACUGGGAGACUUGAGGACUUCAGAGGGAUGCGGAAUUCCAGGUGGAGCGGUGAAAUGCCGUAGAGAUCUGGAAGAACACCAAAGGCGAAGGCAGCACCCU
rnacentral:rRNA from 1 species